UGCGAAAAAGCGAGGUGAAAGGUGAACUGCGUUAUAGCGAGGGACCACUGUAAUUUUGAAGGUGUGUACUUGACUAGCUGAUAUCGACACAACGGGGGAAACAUCUGGUUUGACUAUUCCUCACCUGUAGUUUGAAUGCUGAACAUUUGCCUGUUUAAGUCAUAAGACCAGUCACUAUACAGAGAUGUGCUUCUGAAUGUGGACGAUGUGUCUUCUGAUUUUGUAAUGCAGUUCUGCUUGUGUUGAGUGAUGUAAACAACUGAUCGAUCUACACUCUUUAAAUGUCAAAAUUGAUCAUUAGAUUUUUUAUGACACAACAGUUGUGAGUGUUCCCACCUUAUGCUCUUUGUAACGUAACGCAAUCUUUCCGUUUUUGAGUUUUGGACAUGAUUUUGGAGUAUAUCUUCGCAGUAGCGAUUGACCGCAAAGUAAAGCUACCGGAAAUGUACAACCCCACAUCCGGUCUCAAACCAGGAAGUUAGCAUUUUCUUGUGCACAGGGUCUAUUAUGGAUCUUCAGAUCCACAUUAUGUCAGCAGCUAUUCUCCACCGUGAAUUAUGUUAAAAACAAACACCGCUCGCGCCUCACAGAUGGCAGCUUACAGUCCUGCGUAAAGAUGAAAGUACAGCCCCGAUUUGCAGACGCUGUGUGUAGAGGUUCUGGAGCAGAAGUCCCAUUGUAAACAUACCACGGCAGACCUGACGAUGUUUGCAUGAUGUUUUUUUUCCCCAUAUCUUUUGAAAGCCAGGUCAAGUCUCCAAAAGUCCAAAGGCGAAAUAAGGGUGGCGGCUCACAACAGUUUUUGUUUGCUUGUCAUGGUCCCUGUGCCUUCUCAGCUGACUCUGUAUUGCUAGAAGUGUUUCCUGUUGUGCUGCGUCUCUCUCUCUCUCCUCCUGCGCGCAUAACUGCCUGACCUCAUCGGCCACUGGACUGUCGCCGUUCGAAGUCUCUCUGGGCUACCAACCACCACUGUUCCCAGCCGUGGAGGGUGAGCAUACCAUCCCUUCAGUGCAACACCAUUUCUGCAGGUACCACCGGGCCUGGCGUGCCACCGAAGCCGCUCUGCUACAGACAGCGGAGUGCAACAAGACGCUGACCACCGCCAGGUCCCUGCUCCUGACUAUACGGUUGGGCAAAAGGUCAAACACGUGCUCUCCAGCCCGUUGUGCCCUACUUUCAGGCCCCCUCCGCCCGCCCGGCUCGUGGAUGGGCAGGAAGUGUUUAACAUCACCAGCAUUAUGGACUCUCAGCGGUGGGGGAGGGGUGUUCGGUGAGCUAUAAAGCCAGAGUGAGAGAGCUAACCUGAGCGUCAGAGGAGGAUCAUUGUACAUAGCCCUCAUGUCUUUAUCCUGUUUUCCUUCUCUCACCCCAACCGGUCGCAGCAGAUGGCCCCGCC